rnacentral:rRNA from 1 species
GGCAGGCCUAACACAUGCAAGUCGAACGGUAACAGGAAGCAGCUUGCUGCUUUGCUGACGAGUGGCGGACGGGUGAGUAAUGUCUGGGAAACUGCMCGAUGGAGGGGGAUAACUACUGGAAACGGUAGCUAAUACCGCAUAAUGUCGCAAGACCAAAGAGGGGGRCCUUCGGGCCUCUUGCCAUCGGAUGUGCCCAGAUGGGAUUAGCUWGUUGGUGAGGUAACGGCUCACCAAGGCGACGAUCCCUAGCUGGUCUGAGAGGAUGACCAGCCACACUGGAACUGAGACACGGUCCAGACUCCUACGGGAGGCAGCAGUGGGGAAUAUUGCACAAUGGGCGCAAGCCUGAUGCAGCCAUGCCGCGUGUAUGAAGAAGGCCUUCGGGUUGUAAAGUACUUUCAGCGGGGAGGAAGGGGUUAAGGUUAAUAACCUUAGCCAUUGACGUUACCCGCAGAAGAAGCACCGGCUAACUCCGUGCCAGCAGCCGCGGUAAUACGGAGGGUGCAAGCGUUAAUCGGAAUUACUGGGCGUAAAGCGCACGCAGGCGGUCUGUCAAGUCGGAUGUGAAAUCCCCGGGCUCAACCUGGGAACUGCAUUCGAAACUGGCAGGCUUGAGUCUCGUAGAGGGGGGUAGAAUUCCAGGUGUAGCGGUGAAAUGCGUAGAGAUCUGGAGGAAUACCGGUGGCGAAGGCGGCCCCCUGGACGAAGACUGACGCUCAGGUGCGAAAGCGWGGRGAGCAAACAGGAUUA